CCUACGGGCUGCACCAGUAGGGAAUCUUCGGCAAUGGACGAAAGUCUGACCGAGCAACGCCGCGUGAGUGAAGAAGGUUUUCGGAUCGUAAAACUCUGUUGUUAGAGAAGAACAAGUAGGAGAAUAACUGCUCUUACCUUGACGGUAUCUAACCAGAAAGCCACGGCUAACUACGUGCCAGCAGCCGCGGUAAUACGUAGGUGGCAAGCGUUGUCCGGAUUUAUUGGGCGUAAAGCGAGCGCAGGCGGUCUUUUAAGUCUGAUGUGAAAGCCCUCGGCUCAACCGAGGAAGGUCAUUGGAAACUGGAGGACUUGAGUGCAGAAGAGGAGAGUGGAAUUCCAUGUGUAGCGGUGAAAUGCGUAGAUAUAUGGAGGAACACCAGUGGCGAAGGCGACUCUCUGGUCUGUAACUGACGCUGUGGCUCGAAAGCGUGGGGAGCAAACAGGAUUAGAUACCCUUGUAGUC
rnacentral:rRNA from 1 species